rnacentral:rRNA from 1 species
CUUUCCUUGACGACGACUGGCGCACGGGUGAGUAACGCGUAUCCAACCUUCCCAUGACCACGGGAUAACCCGUUGAAAGACGGCCUAAUACCGUAUGACGUCGUUUGCCGACAUCGAAAGACGACCAAAGGUUUGGCGGUGAUGGAUGGGGAUGCGUCUGAUUAGCUUGUUGGCGGGGUAACGGCCCACCAAGGCUACGAUCAGUAGGGGUUCUGAGAGGAAGGUCCCCCCACAUUGGAACUGAGACACGGUCCAAACUCCUACGGGAGGCAGCAGAA